rnacentral:rRNA from 1 species
AUUGAACGCUAGCGGGAUGCUUUACACAUGCAAGUCGAACGAGUGGCGGACGGUUAGGAAUAUAACGGAACGUGCCCCGUAGCGGGGGAUAACUACUCGAAAGAGUGGCCUAUACCGCAAACCAUUGGAGCGGCCGAUAUCGGAUUAGCUAGUUGGGGGGGUAAAGGCUCACCAAGGCAACGAUCCGUAGCUGGUUUGAAGGGACGACCAGCCACACUGGGACUGAGACACGGCCCAGACUCCUACGGGAGGCAGCAGUGGGGAAUUUUGGACAAUGGGGGAAACCCUGAUCCAGCCAUCCCGCGUGUAUGAGAAGGCCUUCGGGUUGUAAAGUACUUUUGGCAGAGAAGCGGUAUCUGCAGAAUAAGCACCGGCUAACUACGUGCCAGCAGCCGCGAUAAUAC